rnacentral:rRNA from 1 species
AUUGAACGCUGGCGGCAUGCCUUACACAUGCAAGUCGAACGGUAACAGGUCUUCGAAUGCUGACGAGUGGCGAACGGGUGAGUAAUACAUCGGAACGUGCCUAGUAGGGGGGGAUAACUACUCGAAAGAGUGGCUAAUACCGCAUGAGAUCUACGGAUGAAAGCAGGGGAUCGCAAGACCUUGUGCUACUAGAGCGGCCGAUGGCAGAUUAGGUAGUUGGUGGGAUAAAAGCUUACCAAGCCGACGAUCUGUAGCUGGUCUGAGAGGACGAUCAGCCACACUGGGACUGAGACACGGCCCAGACUCCUACGGGAGGCAGCAGUGGGGAAUUUUGGACAAUGGGCGAAAGCCUGAUCCAGCAAUGCCGCGUGCAGGAUGAAGGCCUUCGGGUUGUAAACUGCUUUUGUACGGAACGAAAAGCCCCGGGUUAAUACCCUGGGGUCAUGACGGUACCGUAAGAAUAAGCACCGGCUAACUACGUGCCAGCCGCCGCAGUAA